rnacentral:rRNA from 1 species
UAAUACGUGAGUAACCUGCCCUUGACUCUGGGAUAAGCCCGGGAAACUGGGUCUAAUACUGGAUGCUACAUGUCACCGCAUGGUGGUGUGUGGAAAGGGUUUACUGGUCUUGGAUGGGCUCACGGCCUAUCAGCUUGUUGGUGAGGUAAUGGCUCACCAAGGCGACGACGGGUAGCCGGCCUGAGAGGGUGACCGGCCACACUGGGACUGAGACACGGCCCAGACUCCUACGGGAGGCAGCAGUGGGGAAUAUUGCACAAUGGGCGAAAGCCUGAUGCAGCGACGCCGCGUGAGGGAUGACGGCCUUCGGGUUGUAAACCUCUUUCAGCAGGGAAGAAGCCACAAGUGACGGUACCUGCAGAAGAAGCGCCGGCUAACUACGUGCCAGCAGCCGCGGUAAUACGUAGGGCGCAAGCGUUGUCCGGAAUUAUUGGGCGUAAAGAGCUCGUAGGCGGUUUGUCGCGUCUGCUGUGAAAGCCCGGGGCUUAACCCCGGGUGUGCAGUGGGUACGGGCAGACUAGAGUGCAGUAGGGGAGACUGGAAUUCCUGGUGUAGCGGUGGAAUGCGCAGAUAUCAGGAGGAACACCGAUGGCGAAGGCAGGUCUCUGGGCUGUUACUGACGCUGAGGAGCGAAAGCAUGGGGAGCGAACAGGAUUAGAUACCCUGGUAGUCCAUGCCGUAAACGUUGGGCACUAGUGUGGGGGACAUUCCACGUUUUCCGCGCCGUAGCUAACGCAUUAAGUGCCCCGCCUGGGGAGUACGGCCGCAAGGCUAAAACUCAAAGGAAUUGACGGGGGCCCGCACAAGCGGCGGAGCAUGCGGAUUAAUUCGAUGCAACGCGAAGAACCUUACCAAGGCUUGACAUAUACCGGAUCGUUCCAGAGAUGGUUCUUCCCCUUUGGGGUCGGUAUACAGGUGGUGCAUGGUUGUCGUCAGCUCGUGUCGUGAGAUGUUGGGUUAAGUCCCGCAACGAGCGCAACCCUCGUUCCAUGUUGCCAGCACGUGAUGGUGGGGACUCAUGGGAGACUGCCGGGGUCAACUCGGAGGAAGGUGGGGAUGACGUCAAAUCAUCAUGCCCCUUAUGUCUUGGGCUUCACGCAUGCUACAAUGGCCGGUACAAAGGGUUGCGAUACUGUGAGGUGGAGCUAAUCCCAAAAAGCCGGUCUCAGUUCGGAUUGAGGUCUGCAACUCGACCUCAUGAAGUCGGAGUCGCUAGUAAUCGCAGAUCAGCAACG